AACGAACGCUGGCGGCAGGCCUAACACAUGCAAGUCGAGCGAGACCUUCGGGUCUAGCGGCGGACGGGUGAGUAACGCGUGGGAACGUGCCCUUUUCUACGGAAUAGCCUCGGGAAACUGAGCGUAAUACCGUAUACGCCCUUUGGGGGAAAGAUUUAUCGGAGAAGGAUCGGCCCGCGUUGGAUUAGGUAGUUGGUAGGGUAAUGGCCUACCAAGCGUACGAUCCAUAGCUGGUUUGAGAGGAUGGUCAGCCACACUGGGAGUGGGACACGGCCCAGACUCCUACGGGAGGCAGGAGAGGGGAAUCUUAGACAACGGGGGCAACCCUGAACUAGCCAUGACGGGAGAGCGAUGAAGGCCGUGGGGUUGUAAAGCUCUUUCAGCUGGGAAGGUAUUGACGGUACCAGCAGAAGAAGCCCCGGCUAACUCCGUG
rnacentral:rRNA from 1 species